GGUACCUUGGCCGAGAGGUUAGGCACCGGUCUGCAAAACCGUUUACUCCGGUUCGAAUCCGGAAGGUACCU
rnacentral:tRNA from 1 species